UGACCUACGGGAGGCAGCAGUGGGGGAUAUUGCACAAUGGGGGGAACCCUGAUGCAGCGACGCCGCGUGGGCGAUGGAGUGCUUCGGCAUGUAAAGCCCUAUCAGCAGGGAAGAAAAUGACGGUACCUGACUAAGAAGCCCCGGCUAAAUACGUGCCAGCAGCCGCGGUAAUACGUAUGGGGCAAGCGUUAUCCGGAUUUACUGGGUGUAAAGGGAGCGCAGGCGGCCUGCCAGGUCUGGUGUGAAAACCCGGGGCCCAACCCCGGGCCUGCAUUGGAAACUGGCGGGC
rnacentral:rRNA from 1 species